UUUUUUUUUUUUUUUAGGUUAACUGUGAAGCAGCCUCAGGCAGGUCCACCAGGAGGCAUCCAGAAGAAGGCAUUGCUGUCCUAGAAGAUAGCAGCUCCAUGUGUGUUACUGCCCCUGAAGACCUUCCAGUGGGACAAGAUGUGGAGGUGGGAGACAGGGCUAUGGGGGCUCCUGACCCGGUGUUGGCCUAGGCUAAUGGGUGUCUUUGUGUCUUUGUUUUUAACAAAACCAUUUUAAAGUUACAAAAAUGUUUAAUUUAAAAAUAGAAAAAUCUUAAGGAGAUAAAGAAAAUGUUUUUGUAUAGCUAUACAAUGUGUUUGCAUUUUAAACUGUAUUACAAGAGUCCAAAAGCUAACAAAAAUUUUAAAAUGUAUAAAGUAAAAAAUGUAUAGAAAUUAUAGCAAAAAUUUACAGCGCGCUUAAUUUCUUAUUGAAGAAAGAAAAAUAUUCUUAGACAUUUAGUGUAGGCUGAGUGUAGAGUGUAAAGUCUAUAGUAGCAUAUAGUCAUGUCCUAGGGCUUCACAUUCGCUCACCAUUCACUCACUUACCCAGAACAACUUCCAGUCUCCAGUACUGCAAACACCACUCAUGGUAAGUGCCCUACACAGGUUCACCAUUUUAUCUGUUGUAUGAUUUUUUUACUGUACCUUUUCUACAUUUAGCUAUGUGUAAACGAACACCAUUGUGGUACAACGGCCUGCAGUAUGCAGUACAAUCACAUGUAGUGCCGGCGUGUGGCCCAGGAGCAGCAGGCCAUACAUUUAGCCUAGGUGUGCAGUAGGCUGUGCCAUCGAGGCUGGUGUAAGUACACUCUGUGAUGUUCACACAGCGACUCUGUAGCCUAACAGCGCGUUUCUCAGAAUGUAUCCCUGUUGUUAAGCGAUGCAUGACUGUAUAAGAUAAAUCGGGGUGAAUAAAGCCUCAAGGCUUACACGUAACUGCUGGAAGAGGCACCAGCAAGCAAGAGGCAGUGCAGCCGCCGCACAAAGCAGAUUAGAAACUGGAGAAGUGCAAACCUAAAGGAGGCUUUGCCACCGCCCUGGGGUAAUCGCCCUCCCCCAUCACUAGCCGACAGGUUCCCUGGGGUGUACCAGUGGACCUCACGUCUCAGCGACCACAGCAGCCAGUAUGCACUGUCUAUAACCAUCCCAGGGUGGGGCUGUCCCAGGCCCCAACUGCCCCCCUGUAGUGUGGGCACCAGGCCGCUCUCAGCAGUGCAGAGAACACACUGGGAACCCCAGCUCAGGGCCUUUCACUUCUCUGACCAGAUGUAAGUGUGUUUGUGCAUGUGAGUGUGUGCAUGUGUGUGUAAAAGUGUGCAUGUU
rnacentral:lncRNA from 1 species